rnacentral:lncRNA from 1 species
GGUGAGGCAGAGCCUCGUGCUUCCUGCCAGCUGCGGGCACUGUCCCAACAGAGCUGCACACAGGACAUCAGUCUGGAGCUGGUCACUGGGGCCUGUGUGCCCUGUGCUGGGACAGACACCGGGGCCCAUGACAACAACAGGUUCCUGAUCAGGCACAGGAUUGGAAAUCAGGUGGCGGAGAGCCUGUCACAGGCCUGCCUGGUGAGGAUAGUGAAGACAGGCUGGUGGUGCACCCCAUCGAAGCCCCUGGAGAAGCCCAUCCCGGGUAGCUGCCCCGUCUGUGGCGUCUCCUUCCCAGACUCCUCCGGGAUCUGCAUCGCUUCCCUACAUGACAGGAUGCUGGGAAGCUGCAGGGCCAGCUGCAGCCCAAGCUGAAGUCCCACCUGUAGAGCUUGUGCCAGCUCCACCUGCAGCUCCCUCCCCAGCUCUGGCACCCCCGAACAGGUAGUGUGGGAGGAAAGGCCAGGCCUCUCAUUCUGCUGUCCACCUGCCUUCCCCGGAUCCACGUCUUCUGUCCUUGACUCAUCGCUGGAGCUGCACUCCCAGGAGAAUAUCCUAGCUGAACUCCUGGGCCAGCAAGAGCAAGCUGAGCCCAUGGAGGCAGAGCCCAUCGAUGAGGAAAGGGGUAUGGGUCUGUGUGCA